rnacentral:rRNA from 1 species
GAGUUUGAUCCUGGCUCAGAUUGAACGCUGGCGGCAGGCCUAACACAUGCAAGUCGAACGGUAAUAUUUCUAGCUUGCUGGAAGAUGACGAGUGGCGGACGGGUGAGUAAUGCUUGGGAACUUGCCUUUGCGAGGGGGAUAACAGUUGGAAACGACUGCUAAUACCGCAUAAUGUCUACGGACCAAACGGGGCUUAGGCUCCGGCGCAAAGAGAGGCCCAAGUGAGAUUAGCUAGUUGGUAAGGUAAUGGCUUACCAAGGCAACGAUCUCUAGCUGUUCUGAGAGGAAGAUCAGCCACACUGGAACUGAGACACGGUCCAGACUCCUACGGGAGGCAGCAGUGGGGAAUAUUGCACAAUGGGGGAAACCCUGAUGCAGCCAUGCCGCGUGUGUGAAGAAGGCCUUCGGGUUGUAAAGCACUUUCAGUUGUGAGGAAAAGUUAGUAGUUAAUACCUGCUAGCCGUGACGUUAACAACAGAAGAAGCACCGGCUAACUCCGUGCCAGCAGCCGCGGUAAUACGGAGGGUGCGAGCGUUAAUCGGAAUUACUGGGCGUAAAGCGCACGCAGGCGGUUUGUUAAGCUAGAUGUGAAAGCCCCGGGCUCAACCUGGGAUAGUCAUUUAGAACUGGCAGACUAGAGUCUUGGAGAGGGGAGUGGAAUUCCAGGUGUAGCGGUGAAAUGCGUAGAUAUCUGGAGGAACAUCAGUGGCGAAGGCGACUCCCUGGCCAAAGACUGACGCUCAUGUGCGAAAGUGUGGGUAGCGAACAGGAUUAGAUACCCUGGUAGUCCACACCGUAAACGCUGUCUACUAGCUGUUUGUGACUUUAAGUCGUGAGUAGCGAAGCUAACGCGCUAAGUAGACCGCCUGGGGAGUACGGCCGCAAGGUUAAAACUCAAAUGAAUUGACGGGGGCCCGCACAAGCGGUGGAGCAUGUGGUUUAAUUCGAUGCAACGCGAAGAACCUUACCUACACUUGACAUGCUGAGAACUUUCCAGAGAUGGAUUGGUGCCUUCGGGAGCUCAGACACAGGUGCUGCAUGGCUGUCGUCAGCUCGUGUCGUGAGAUGUUGGGUUAAGUCCCGCAACGAGCGCAA